rnacentral:rRNA from 1 species
AUUGAACGCUGGCGGCAUGCUUUACACAUGCAAGUCGAACGGCAGCGCGGGCUUCGGCCUGGCGGCGAGUGGCGAACGGGUGAGUAAUGCAUCGGAACGUGCCCAGUAGUGGGGGAUAGCCCGGCGAAAGCCGGAUUAAUACCGCAUACGACCUGAGGGUGAAAGCGGGGGACCGAAAGGCCUCGCGCUAUUGGAGCGGCCGAUGUCGGAUUAGCUAGUUGGUGGGGUAAAGGCUUACCGAGGCGACGAUCCGUAGCUGGUCUGAGAGGACGACCAGCCACACUGGGACUGAGACACGGCCCAGACUCCUACGGGAGGCAGCAGUGGGAAAUUUUGGACAAUGGGGGCAACCCUGAUCCAGCCAUGCCGCGGGCGGGAAGAAGGCCUUCGGGUUGUAAACCGCUUUUGUUCGGGAAGAAAUCCUCUGGGCUAAUACCCCGGGGGAUGACGGUACCGGAAGAAUAAGCACCGGCUAACUACGUG